rnacentral:SRP_RNA from 1 species
CCAUGCUAGCUGGGGAGUUAGCGGUGCCCUGUAACCUGCAAUCCGCUAUAGCAGGAGUGAAUUCCUCACACAGGCUUUAGUUUGUGGGGUCUGCUUCAUAAAAGUGGCGUUGAGAGCUGGGUCCUACGCAACGGAAACUCAUGAACCCCGUCAGGUCCGGAAGGAAGCAGCGGUAAGUGAAUCUUUUCGUGUGCCGUAGGGCAACCUGGUUUGAGCUAACUGUAUGAAUAACGCUCAUAAAUUAUUAGUCAAUGUGAGGUGCAUGG